rnacentral:rRNA from 1 species
CAGUCGCCGCGGUAAUACAGAGGGUGCAAGCGCUAAUCGGACUUACUGGGCGUAAAGGGCGCGUAGGUGGUUAUUUAAGUGAGAUGUGAAAUCCCCGGGCUUAACCUGGGAACUGCAUCUUAUACUGGGUAACUGGAGUGCAGUAGAGGGUAGUGGAAUUUCCGGUGUAGCGGUGAAAUGCGUAGAUAUCGGAAGGAACACCAGUGGCGAAGGCGGCUACCUGGACUGAGACUGACACUGAGGCGCGAGAGCGUGGGGAGCAAACAGGAUUAGAUACCCCCGUAGUCCCUGUCUCUUAUAC